AAAGUUUGGUAAGUGCAGAUACACAUAAGGGAAGGAAAGUGUGCCCAAGAGAAUGGCCUGGGAUCACUGUUGCCAUUCCAGGACUCCUUGCAGUCCUCAGCAGCCCUGCAGUAAUAUUUCCACACAAUUGAGUGAGUGGCCUUCCUCUGAGAUAACAAGCAGGCUUCCUAUGAGCCAAAAAUUUUCUAUUCAGCGUGCUGUGACUUGAAUAUGGAAAUCAUCUUAAUUUCUUCUUUUCUCUUAUGAAGAUAUUUCCAUGCAUGGUUUGUCAAGACAAGAGUUCAUUCUUUGGUAUUGACACACUACUGAAUUAAAACAUGUUGGAGCAAGUUGAAAAAUCAAAAUUAAGCCGGUUCCUCUUAAACAGUUUAAAGCCUUCCUUAGUUCAAAAUAAAUUAAGCACUGUAAAAUGAAGUUAAUUCAGGUAAUUAGUACAUAAGUCUAACCAUAUUAUAUCCCUGGUAUUCCAGUUUCAGGGUAUAAUUAAAUUCUCAGAAAUCUGCAGAACUCCCUAAUUUGGUUUCUAUAUUUAUUUAACAAGACAGGAAACAAAUAUAUGUCAGUAUACCCCAUAAGGGAAGGAACCUGAAUGAAGGAGUUUAUCUUUAGUUACCUAGAAAUAGUACUGAGCUUGAAUUUGAUCAUAUUUAUAUGUUUCAUUUUGCAUCAUAAUUAUUACCAUAGACCAUAUUACUUUAUAAUUACCAUUAUAGGCCAUAUCAAAAAUUUUGAUUCCUAAUUUACUUAAGCAAAAAUAAUAAAAUCAUGCAUUUGACCCAGAAGUAUCAGAUCACAUACUUAGGAGUAUGAAUUUGACAGACACCCUCCCCGCCAAUAACUUUCUUAAGUUGAGUUAGAAAGUCAGAUACUGCCAUGAGCACCAGAAGAGUUCUUUUUUUCCUAUGAACUUUAUUUUCUCAUUUGUUUUAUUUAAAAUUUUUUAAAUAGUUGUGUAUGUCAAAGUGAUGAAAUUAUAUAGUGAAAAUGUACCUUUUCUAUGAAUAAAGUAUUUUAAAA
rnacentral:lncRNA from 1 species